rnacentral:lncRNA from 1 species
GCCAGAGAUUCAGAGAGGGAGGGAGGGACCAAUAGGUGCAGCACAGGAAGUUUUUAGGGGAGUGAGACUGUUCUGUGUGAGACUGUAAUGGUGAAUAUAUAUCAUUACAUAUUUGUCAAAACCCAUAGAACAUACAACACAAUGAAUGAAGCCUAAUGUAAACCCAUGGGCUUGAGUGAAUAAUGUGUCAACACUGGCUCAUCAAUUGUAUCAAAUCUAUCACACUAAUGGCAGAUGUUAAUAAAGGACAAGUGAGGGGUGAGGUGGAAGAAGAAGUCUCUUUGUACUUCUCAUGCAGUUUUGCUGUAAAUCUGAAACUGCUCCCCCCGAAAUCUAUUAAAAAUGUAGGAAGAAAAGAAAGCAAUUCAAAAAAGGACAAUCCAGUUUUUCUUAAUGGGCAAAAGAUGUGUACAGAUAAUUCACAAAGGAAAUAUAUAUAAAUGGCGUAAACACAUGAAAAGGUGCUUAAAUCACCAGUCAUCAGGAAAACGCAGAAUGAAAUAAGACACCAUUACUCACCAGAAUGGCUAAAAUUAAAAAGACUGACCAGACCAUGGAUCAGUGAGGAUGUGGAACUGGGAGUCUCAUAAUUACUGGUGGAAGUACAAAAUGGAAUGAUCGCAUUGAGAAAAGGUCUAGAAGUUUCUUACAAAACUAAACAUGUAUACAUCUACCAUAUUACCCAACAAUUCCACUCCUAGGUAUUUACCCAAGAGAAAUAAAAAUCCACAGAAAGACUUGCACAUGAAUGUUCACGGAAACUUUAUUCAUAAUAUCCAAAAACUGGAAAAAGCCCCAGUACCUAUAUAAUAGAACGGACAGAUUUUACUCAAUUCAUACAAGGGAAUACUAAGCAAUAAAAAGUAACUAAUCACCAAUCUAUUCAGCAACGAUGGAUGCAUCUCCAAAACGUUAUGCUGGGUGUGUAGAAGACGGACACACACAAGAGUAGAAAUUAUAGGACACCAUUUAUAUGAAAUUCUAGAAUAUGGAAAACUAAUCCAAAAUGAAAAAAACCAUCAGCAUUGGCUAUGUCUGAGGAUGGAGGACGUGGGGACUGACUAGGAGGAAGGAGCAGGAGGGGACUUUCUGGGUUGAUAGUAGUGUUCCAUAUAUUGAGAGGGGUCUGGGUUACACAGGUGUGUGCAUUUGUCAGAACUCAAAAGAAUGCACACUGAAGAUGUGUGCAUUACAGUGUGCACGUUUAAAAUAAAGUUUACAUUAAAAACACAAACAUUGACCUAUAAUGAACAGUUGUAUGCCCAUGUAUUUAGAAGGAAAUGCAUUGAUGUUGCCACUUUACUCAGAAAUGUACCUCAACAGUGCACCAUGAAAGGAUGAAUGGCAGGAUGGGUGAAGGGACGGGGCAUGGGUAGAUGGGACGCUCCAAGGCGGGUCCAGUAAAAUGACAUAGACAUUUAUGCCCUAGAAAUGAUUUCAACAUUGCCGUAUGUUUGAAAUGUGGGACCAGUCGUUUAAAUCAAUAGAAUGUAAGUAGUUUCAAUGCUAACAUGACAGUCCUACAACAGGACCAGCAGCUGUACUUUUUUUUUAUUUUUAUGAGACGGAGUUUCUUGUUGCCCAGGCUAGAGUGCAAUGGCGCAAAUCACAGCUCACUGCAACCUCCGCCUCCUGGGUUCAAGCAAUUCUCCUGCCUCAGCCUCCUGAGUAGCUGGGAUUACAGGCACGUGCCACCACACCUGGCUAAUUUUUGUAUUUUUAGUAGAGAAGGGGUUUCGCCAUUUUGGCCAGGCUGGUCUCAAACUCCUGACCUCAGGUGAUCCACCCGCCUUGGCCUCCCCAGGUGCUGGGAUUACAGGCGUGAACCACCGCACCCAGCCUGUACUCUUUCAUAAACGUCAAGACAGAUGAAGAAAGGUAAAACAAUUUGCCUAAGCUGUGAUUUCUAAGUGACCCUCUUCACUUUGUCAAAGCAUUCAUUCAUGAGAAAACUAUGGAACUCCUGUGUUCUUGAGAGGCUGCAGUCCGGUGUGGGAGGCAGAGCAGUGGCCAGCACACAGCAUGGUGAGGCGACAGAGCGUGGGGGCUCUAAUAGGAGGUGAGCAGGGCACUCAGCCAGGCGCUGGCGCUCAAACCUAGCGGAAGGCAGAAAGAGCCAUGAAGAAGUGGACACUAUUUUACUCCAGUAAUAGUUCAUUUUUAUUGUGUCAAACAGUGGACUUAAGUCUCACCCAUUCUUAGGACUGUCAGUGUGACCAAAGCUGCCACCUGCAGAGCCCAGGAGAGGAGUCCUCGCCUUUACCCCCUUUCCCAUCUCCAUCCUUCUCCCCGAAGCCCACAGCUCAGUGCCCUCUCCUGAGGAAGCCUCUGAUCCCACAGCCAAGCACAAGAUCUAGGCCUGUGGGCACCAACAGGAUGGGGCUCUGCAGUCAGGGAGCGUCAGCUCGGUGCAGGUACAGGUGCCUUAGUGACCUAUAGGUCAGGGGCAUGACCUAUGGACCGAAUCGAGCCAUUCACAGUGAGGCCUCACCUGUCCUGGGAUCGCAGGCACACACAGCUCCCCACAACCACUACACACACACACACACACACACACACACGCAUUUUAAAUUCCCAUGAAAAAAUUAACUUUGCAUAUAUGGGCCACAUGCCCUUCCACAUCCUGCUUAAAGCACCUCAACAGCCCCUAAGUUCCUGUUUUGUCAAAAUGACUUGCCCUGGAACCGGGCACAGGCAAGGCUGCUUAAGACUGCAUCCCCAAUAUAUUUGUAAAUAUAUAACUGUGUUACAUAAUAAAACAUGCAAAAAAUUUAAAAAGAAUGAAGCAACUAUAAUAUUAACUGAAGUCUGGACAUUUACUUAUUUAACCAAUAUCGUGGAUCACAGUUUACAUGGAAGAUUCCAGGUAACUCAAUCUAAGAAAAAUAUUCGUUUUAUGCUUAGUAACAAUGAGGAAAAUCCUUGAUAGCUGCCAAGAACCUAUAUCACCCCAGAGAACCAAGACGUUCACUUGCAUUUCGGCUUCCUUACCACCUAAGCCAUCUGUUUUCUCAAAACUUUACAGGUGACUUUUCAAUCUCUUAUCCUGAAUGAAGCCUAUUUAUAUUCUGUGUUCUCCUUGCAAAAGUAGUACAUUAUUCAAAGAAAUAAUAUGACAUUAACUCCCCAUUCGUUAGUCAAUAUUAAGAUAUUAACAUUAUUGAAAGAACACUGCCAAUCAUACGAAGCAGUCAAACCUCCCUAACUCAAACAAGGAAUAGUUUGACAGUAAAAAUUUGAGGUAUUUAAAGCA